UACGUAGGGGGCAAGCGUUGAUCGGAAUUACUGGGCGUAAAGGGCUCGUAGGCGGCCAACUAAGUCAGACGUGAAAUCCCUCGGCUUAACCGGGGAACUGCGUCUGAUACUGGAUGGCUUGAGUUUGGGAGAGGGAUGCGGAAUUCCAGGUGUAGCGGUGAAAUUCGUAGAUAUGGGGAGGAACACCGGUGGCGAAGGCGGCCAUCUGGACGGAUACUGACGCUGAGACGCGAAAGCGUGGGGAGCAAACAGG
rnacentral:rRNA from 1 species